CAAAAAAGAAGAAAAAAACUAACACAAUGAGAUUUUGGGUUCAAUGCAAGUGUUCAACAAAUCAAAUCCAGAGAAACAAACUAAACACGUCUGAAGCACAAACUUUUCUUAAUAAAAAUCAUUCAAAACUUUAUUUUGAGACUAAUCCCUAAACCAAAUUCGCAAGAACAAAAAGAGACAGUAACCGCAACCACUAAUAAAUCCCUAUACGAGCAAAUUCAAGAUGAUGAUAUGCGUGGAAGAAUAAAAAAAGAAAAGGGAUGGAUCCGACCUGCAGAUGCUACGAAUACGCCCUAUGCUUCUCACACAGUGACCCAAGGUAAAAUCACUCGACCUUUUGGAUGCUCCUAUCUUAAUCCUUAUUUUCUUUCUUUGCAUUUUGAAAUCAUGUGUUGUUGUGGUAAGGUAUUUUUAAUAAUGGUUGAAAUUUGGAUAGUUGCUUGAAUUUUUUUUCUUUUCGAUUUUUGUUGAAUCUAAUAUUUGGUUUUCUUUGUGAUUUCUAAUGUUUCAAGAUUUUGUGUUUCAAAAGUAAAUUCUCGUAUUUUAAAUGUAACUGGGAUUUUCAAUUUUUGUGAUGCUGAGAUUUUGAUGGUUUUUGGGAUCUUGGAUUGGGUUUUUGUUGUUGUUCCCCUCCCUAAAAAAAACCCUGUGAUACUCUGUUAUACUCUUUUUGCUCUUGACUUUUUGAAAUAUGUUUUGCUUAGAAAAAUAUGUUAAUUGCACUAUUCUGCAACUACUGCAUCAACAAGACAAGAAUAUGUCCAAGUCAAAGAGAGCAGAGUUCAAGUUGUGUAGAGAAAUAAAAGAGACAAACUAGCUCUUAGUCAUUGUGUAACUAAUAUACUUGAAGAGUCCCUUUGGUUUUGU
rnacentral:lncRNA from 1 species